rnacentral:tRNA from 1 species
GCCCGGAUGGCGGAAUUGGCAGACGCAACGGACUCAAAAUCCGUCGCCCUCUAAAGGCAUGUGGGUUCGACCCCCACUCCGGGCACCA